CAUCCCCUUUCUCGAACUUUCUGGCCUUAGCUGGGGUCUGCCUUCUAGUCCCUGCCCUUGUACUAUGGCUGUCACUCUGGCCAGUGGACCCUUCUAAGCAGUCAUCUUUGAGCCUGUUUAUAAGGCCUGAAGUUUUGUUUUAGCCAAAAGGGUGCUCUGCUGCCAGCAGUAUGUCUGGAAUGUUAUUUACUCGGUACAUUUCUGUGGCUUUUCUUAUAGCACUGCACUUGCCAGAGCCAGGGCUCAUUUGCUAGAGAAGGCUGUGCAGUUUGUCUUUCUUGGUAAGGGAAGGGGAGCCUAGCUCCUGUGCCUGGAGGUUCCCUGCCUCUCAUCCUUCUUACAUUUCUGUCUGCGUUAGUAAUCUGCACUAUUCUUGGUGCCUGUAGCACUGCACCCCUUUGUCCUCAGUGCCUCAACUCUACUUUGAAUAUCUGCAGUUUCUGCGGGCUCUUUGGGAAGCCUGGCAGAUGCUUUUCCAUUUGCGUGCCUGCCCUGUUAUUACUUCACAUGAAAGCUGUCUAUUUUGGCAGCCCUGACUCCCGCGAUUGCAAUUUAGUUCUCCAAGCUGAAUGAGUGAUAUUGUGUAAGGGAAAUAUAGGUGGGGUUUUUCUGUAAUGGUGGCUGUGGGGGCGGACCAAAAAUCUGCAAGCAGUCUUGGCUUGUUGCAGAGCUGACAUGAUGGCAAACAAAUGGCUUUUGAAAGAAGGAAGCGGAAUGCAGUUUCUGACUUUGGAAGGGUUCAUAACCGGCUCGCUUUAAUUGAUAGAUUUUUUUUCUAAAGAGCAAAUUCUUCAUUAGAAAGACUGGAAACAAGUCCUAGAUAAUGCUGAGUACUGAAGUGGAAGCAAAGGAGGGGUCUGUGUGUCUCUUCUUUCUGCAGCCCUUCUUCCUCCCACGUCAUCUCUGCAAUUUUUACCAUGGUCUUUGGAGUUUCAGAAGGUGUAGAAAUGAGAUUAGAUGACUCUCCCCAGCUGGUGCCAGCCCUGAGGCCCUUUGCACACCUGGAAAGGCCCACACAUCAUCUUCCUCUCUCAGAGCAUCUUAACAGGUAUGAGCCGUCUCUGUGGGACCCGACUCUGCCAUGAAAUUGCUCAUGCCUGGUUUGGCUAGCCAUCGGUGCACGCAAUUGGACAGAGGAGUGGCUCAGUGAAGGGUUCGCCACUCACUUGGAAGAUGUAUUUUGGGCUGAAGCACAGCAGCUGGCCCCCCAUGAGGCCCAGGAGCAGCAAGAGCUGAGAGCUUGCCUGCGCUGGCUCCGCCUGAAGGAUGAGCUGCGGAACUCCCCAGAGGAGAUGCACGUGUUAAGGUA